GGAGCAAAGAGUAGGAGCUGCUUAGAGAACAUCAGUUCUCUCCACCUGAGGGCCACGGACCUGAAGCCACUGAACCGGCAUUGGGGAGAGACCCUCGGCAGCCCCCAACUCGGCAGUAUUUCCACCGUCUCGAUGUUGCAGAUGCAGACUGCCCUCAAGAACACAGAUCAGAGCAAAAUGUAGCAAGGCUCUGUCCAUCCCACAGCUCUAAUGUGAUGAAGGCCUGGGCUCACAUUUACAGCAGAGAUGCACACAUCACCAUCGCCAUGGAGAGCAAGCCUCAAUGCUAACCUGUCUUAUGCCUGUUUGACUGCUGGACCACGCCAUCCUCAUCGCUGUUAGCGGCAGCAGCAGCAGCAGAAUCCGGGGGUGGGGGGGCGUGUGAGCGUCCUCAGCAGUGCACCCCGAUCCAGAGCGCUCAGCAGGGAGUGAGUUUGUUCUCCCUCCAGUCCCGACCUGACUUAGGAGCCUUGGCUCCUCACGCUCCCCUUUUCUCCCUGGGAGGCUUCACUGCUUCAGGGCACACUGCGUGCGUUUUCCACCCAUUCCCUCCAGGGUGGUCAGUGAUGGAGACCCUGUCCUGUCCACAGAUUUCACACUGAGCGGAUUCAAUGUGCUGGUCUUCUCUGUUGGGGCCAUUACCCAGGUUCAGGGAAAUAAGAACCUCAAGUCGUAACAAUGCUCCUGGUUUGCAGUAAUUUUUUAAUCUACUUUCUGAUUAUUCAGUGGCUUGAACUUCAUUUCUCAUUCAUCAGUGAAUUAUGGUAUGGCCCAUGUGUCUCUCCGAGAGAUUCACUGUCUUAGUUAAGCCAACUACGACCUGCACAGAAGCUGCCUGGGGGUCUAAUUAAAGGUCCAUCAGCACGUUCUCAUUGAAUUAGUGCAGUCGUCUCCCAGUGGGUGCUCUCCCCUCCACUCCCCCGCCCUUCUGUAGUGUCACCCAGCAGACACAUCCUCCCGAAGCCCCCUCACACUCCACACACGCCCCCGAGAGCGCAUGCAGACCCUGCCUCGCCUGACACUGACCUGUCUUUCCUUUGAGCCUCAGUUUUUCCCUCACACACACCAAGGUCAGCCACAGCAGACCAUGUGCUGAGAUGUGACUAUCGCCUCUUCCCACAUCUUUGCUCAUCAUUCUCUGCCACCGCUUACAAUGAUCUGGCCUCACCACCCACCAAAGUCCUGCCUGGACUUCACGGUUCGGUUCAAAGUACCCCAACACCACCAGGAGGCUAGGAAUGAUGGCGCCCCCUUUGUGGAGCCAAAGAAGUGCUGUGCUCACAGUCCCCUGGUAGAUUCUAAGCCCCCUGAGUCAGUAAGCUCCCCCCCCCCCAUUUUUUAAUAUCUCCCACCAUCUUGCCAAGCAUCUGGGAAUAUUUUUAAAGUUCUGCACACUAUCCCUCCCAUCAAUUAUUUAGGGUGAUGAGGAAUGUCUCACGGUAAAGACCUUGGUUCUAUCCUUACUUCCAUUCUUUGUACCACUUAGAAUUCACUUAGU